rnacentral:siRNA from 1 species
UAUUAAUUUGUCUUGAUUGGUGUA